CAGGGGAGGGCCCCUCACCUGGAGGCAGGUCCCAGCCAGGACUCUGAGGCAAUCCCCAGCUCUAAGGACAUGAACACAGACAUGGAUGAGCACAGGACCUUCCUCUCUGCAAGUCUUCCCCUUGCAGACCAUCGUGCAGGACCAUCAGAGGCACACACCCCUGCUCCAACCCCUGGGCCAGAGCCUCUCAGUCACUCUGCAGUUCAGUUUGUGCACCUGUGUCUUGCACUGAGAGCUCCAUGUGCCAUCCCAGAGGACCCGCACGGGCAGUGGACCGAUUUGGUAAAUGGCCAGCAGAGUGGAGGCUGUGCAGUGCCUAGGUAAGU